rnacentral:lncRNA from 1 species
GUCCUUUUCUUUGCAAGAGAUGGAGUAGCAGCAGAUCUCUCGGUCCUGGAUGGCAGACAGAUUCAUUUUCUCAAUCAGCUCCUUCUCAUCCAAUGCUCCCGGAAGGUCUCGCUUGUUACCCAGGACUAAGACCGGGAUGCCCUGCAGCUGAGGUUUGUCCAGUAGGUUGUGGAGCUCGUUCUUAGAGGCCUCAAUCUUCUCCUGGUCAGCAGCAUCCACCAUGUACACGAUGGCGCUCACUCCUCGGCAGUAGCGCUCCCACAUGCUGCGGAAACGCGGCUGUCCCCCAAUGUCCCAGAGCUUGAUAGUCACAUUCCCUUUGGUGAUUUUGCGCAUGUUGAAACCCACGGUGGG